UUUAUACAUGCAAGCCUCACCACUACAGUGAAAUAGCCUACCACUAACAUACAGAGCAGGUAUCAGGUAUACCACCCACAACGCCAAGCAACUAGCCACACCCCCACGGGCCUGCAGCAGUACUUAAUAUUGGGCCAUAAGCGGAAGCUUGACCUAAUAAUGGGGUUACUAGGGCCGGUUAAUCUCGUGCCAGCGACCGCGGUUAUACGACAGACCCAAGAUAAUGUCACCGGCGUAAAGCACGACUUAAAAAUAGUUACCAAAUUAGGAUUAAGAAUAAGCUGGGCUGUAAAAAGCCAUAAGCCAACUAAAACACCCAUCCCAAUUUAAAAACUACUUCAACUCGUGAAAGCAGGGAUACAAACUAAGAUUAGAUACCUUACUAUGCCCCGCCGUAACCAGGCAAUCAAAUAACCAAUUGCCCGCCAAAUAACUACGAGUAAAAACUUAAAAUUUAAAAGACUUGACGGUACUUCACAACGACCUAGAGGAGCCUGUCUAAUAACCGAUAAUCCACGAUUAACCCCACCCGCUUUUGCCCAACAGUCUAUAUACCGCCGUCGCCAGCUUACCUUGUGAAAGAAGCAAAGCAAGCCAAAUAGUAUCACACUAACACUACAGGUCGAGGUGUAACAAAUAAGCAGGUCAAAGAUGGGCUACAUUUCCUAAAUCAGGAAAAACGAAUAAAGUAUGAAACAACAACCUGAAGGCGGAUUUAGCAGUAAGAUAAGGAUAGAACCCCUACCUGAAACACGCAAUGAAGUGCGUACACACCGCCCGUCAUCCCUGUAAAACAACAUAAAUAUACAUAAACAAAUACACAACCCCAAAGCAGGGCAAGUCGUAACAUGGUAAGCGUACUGGAAAGUGUGCUUA
rnacentral:ncRNA from 1 species